CUCCCACUUGCAUCCUCUUCCUCCUUCUCCUCCUCCUCCUGGAGCACAAUGAUGUAGACCACGACUUGCAGCAGCAUCCCUCCAGGCUGCUCGGGGCUCCUGGGGCUUCGCCAUAGGGACGCCAACACCAGAUGGGACGGAGAAGACCCUGGGACAUCACCAUCCUGCUGCUGUGCAUUGGUCCUGCGCUACUGGUGAAGAACACGCUGCUGGGAGGGGAAAAGGAGCAAAGCAAGGAAAGGCAGUCUCGGAGCGCAGGAAAUGUGUGUUAAUGGCUUGUGGAUGUCUCUGUCUCCCACAUGAUGGAAUUGCCGGUGCCGGGCUGUUUUUGACAGCCUGUCUUUUCCAUGUUUUUAAAAUAUUCAUGCCCCGAAAUCUAAUUACCAGCAAAUUUCAUGCUAAUGAAGGGAAGGCUUCGGCUUCCCUCUGCCUCCCUCUUGUUCGCGGUGCUCUAAGAGAGCUCUUUCUUUCUUCCCCACUGCUUUUCUUGCAUGGCAAACCCAACCCCAAGCGAAGGAUCGCCGACAAUAAAGCUUGGCUUGCUCAA